rnacentral:rRNA from 1 species
GAUAACACUUGGAAACAGGUGCUGAUACCGUGUAACAACCAAAACCACAUGGGUUUGGUUUAAAAGAUGGCUUCGGCUAUCACUUUAGGAGGGACSCGCGGCGUAUUAGCUUGUUGGUAUGGUAAUGGCCUACCGAGGCAAUGAUACGUAGCCGACCUGAGAGGGUAAUCGGCCACAUUGGGACUGAGACACGGCCCAAACUCCUACGGGAGGCAGCAGUAGGGAAUCUUCCACAAUGGACGAAAGUCUGAUGGAGCAACGCCGCGUGAGUGAUGAAGGGUUUCGGCUCGUAAAACUCUGUUGUUGGAGAAGAACAGGUGUCAGAGUAACUGUUGACAUCUUGACGGUAUCCAACCAGAAAGCCACGGCUAACUACGUGCCAGCAGCCGCGGUAAUACGUAGGUGGCAAGCGUUGUCCGGAUUUAUUGGGCGUAAAGCGAGCGCAGGCGGUUUCUUAGGUCUGAUGUGAAAGCCUUCGGCUUAACCGGAGAAGUGCAUCGGAAACCAGGAGACUUGAGUGCAGAAGAGGACAGUGGAACUCCAUGUGUAGCGGUGAAAUGCGUAGAUAUAUGGAAGAACACCAGUGGCGAAGGCGACUCUCUGGUCUGCAACUGACGCUGAGGCUCGAAAGCAUGGGUAGCGAACAGGAUUAGAUACCCUGGUAGUCCAUGCCGUAAACGAUGAGUGCUAAGUGUUGGGAGGUUUCCGCCUCUCAGUGCUGCAGCUAACGCAUUAAGCACUCCGCCUGGGGAGUACGACCGCAAGGUUGAAACUCAAAGGAAUUGACGGGGGCCCGCACAAGCGGUGGAGCAUGUGGUUUAAUUCGAAGCAACGCGAAGAACCUUACCAGGUCUUGACAUCUAGUGCCAUCCUAAGAGAUUAGGAGUUCCCUUCGGGGACGCUAAGACAGGUGGUGCAUGGCUGUCGUCAGCUCGUGUCGUGAGAUGUUGGGUUAAGUCCCGCAACGAGCGCAACCCUGUAAUAGUUGCAGC